AUUGAACGCUGGCGGCAGGCCUAACACAUGCAAGUCGAGCGGAUGAAGGGAGCUUGCUCCUGAAUUCAGCGGCGGACGGGUGAGUAAUGCCUAGGAAUCUGCCUGGUAGUGGGGGAUAACGUCCGGAAACGGGCGCUAAUACCGCAUACGUCCUGAGGGAGAAAGUGGGGGAUCUUCGGACCUCACGCUAUCAGAUGAGCCUAGGUCGGAUAGCUAGUUGGUGGGGUAAAGGCCUACCAAGGCGACGAUCCGUAACUGGUCUGAGAGGAUGAUCAGUCACACUGGAACUGAGACACGGUCCAGACUCCUACGGGAGGCAGCAGUGGGGAAUAUUGGACAAUGGGCGAAAGCCUGAUCCAGCCAUGCCGCGUGUGUGAAGAAGGUCUUCGGAUUGUAAAGCACUUUAAGUUGGGAGGAAGGGCAGUAAGUUAAUACCUUGCUGUUUUGACGUUACCAACAGAAUAAGCACCGGCUAACUUCGUG
rnacentral:rRNA from 1 species